rnacentral:tRNA from 2 species
GCCUGGCUGGCUCAGUUGGUGGAGCAUGUGACUCUCGAUCUCAGGGUUGUGAGUUCAAGCCUCAUGUUGGGCA